rnacentral:rRNA from 1 species
GGAGUUAGCCGGUGCUUCUUCUGUGAGUGAUGUCCUUCCUGCCGGUUAUUGACCCGCAGGCCUUCUUCCUCACUGAAAGUGCUUUACAACCCGAAGGCCUUCUUCACACACGCGGCAUGGCUGGAUCAGGGUUGCCCCCAUUGUCCAAUAUUCCCCACUGCUGCCUCCCGUAGGAGUCUGGGCCGUGUCUCAGUACCAGUGUGGCUGAUCAUCCUCUCAGACCAGCUACGGAUCGUCGCCUUGGUGAGCCGUUACCUCACCAACCAGCUAAUCCGACAUAGGCUCAUCCGAUAGCGCGAGGCCCGAAGGUCCCCCGCUUUCCCCCGUAGGGCGUAUGCGGUAUUAGCCUGGGUUUCCCCAGGUUAUCCCCCACUACCGGGCAGAUUCCUAUGCAUUACUCACCCGUCCGCCGCUCGCCACCAGGGAGCAAGCUCCCCGUGCUGCCGCUCGACUUGCAUGUGUUAGGCCUGCCGCCAGCGUUCAAUCUGAGCCAUGAUCAAACUCUGA